UCCUCUCGCGCCCCGCGAGCUCCUAGGAAACCCUCCCCCAAUCGCCCCUGCCCCCGUGAGAUUCCGCCACCAAGCCCUCCCGUCGCCGCCGCCAACGCGAGCAGUCUUGCAGCCGCCGCCGACAUCGAACCCUACCGCCCCCCACGCCCCUCCGCCGUCGAGGCAGAGAAUGUUCAGGCCACCCCGUGCCAGGUCAAUGGCGGAUGGGGAUACCAGCGUGUGGUCUGGAUCUAGCAAUUUCCCGGUCACCGACGAGUUGGAGGAAUCGCAGUGCUGCACAGGGUAUUUUACUGACCUCCUAGCGAAUGGUGUUGAGCAAUCUCAAAUUUCCAAUGCUAUCAAUGCAACCACCAAUGAAGUUCCUGCAAUAGGGAAGAUUUCUUAGGGUAGGGGACCUGCAUUCAGUACAGAGGAGGAUAUCCUUCUUGUGUCAGCUUGGCUGAAUGUGGGCAUGGAUCCUAUUAUCGGAGUUGAACAAUCACAGGGCACAAUGUGGGCACGAAUUCAUGAAUAUUUUCAUGCAAACAAAGAGAUCGAGUCAACGCGUAGUGAAAGCUCAUUACUGAAUCGUUGGUCGGCUAUACAACAUGAUGUGAAUGUAUUCUGUGGAUGUCUGUGUAGGAUAGAACGUAGGCAAAGGAGUGGAACCAGAGAAACUGACAAGAUGGCAUAGGCAUGUGCAUUGUUUAAGGCUGAAGACAAAAAACAUAGGAAGUUUUCUGUGAUGCAUUGCUGGAAUAUCUUAAAGGACAAGCCCAAGUGGAUGGACAAGCGGAAGAAAAUUGCCGCAGCCAAAAAAACUAGCAACAAGAAACAGAAGACAGCAGCAAAUUCAAGUCCUGCAUCACUUCAACCUGCUGCCCCAGCUGAUGGUGUUUGUGAUGCUCAACCAUCAGGAAGACCAGCUGGAAAGAAGAAGGAAAAACAGAAGCUAAGACAUGGUAGAACCAUCGAAACGGUGGACUAUCUAAUGGAAAAGAAGAAAGAAGCUAAUAUUGAGAGGGAGUUGAAGAAAGAAGAGAGGUGCCAGAAAGCCUUUACUCUACAGGAAGAACGGAUCAAAUUAGAAAGAGAAAAGUUUGAGUUCAAGAAGAAAGAAGCUGAGAAGGAAAGAAGGCCGAGAAGGAGGAAGAGGAGAGAAUUCUUGGCUUGGAUUUGAAUACAUUGAACUACCAUCAGCAACAAUAUUAUGAAUGGCAGCAGAAGGAGAUUUUUGCUCGACGUUGCAAUAUCUAGAUGUGUCUACUUACUAUUGUAGUUCAAAUCUUAUUUGCUACCGGGUUCAGUUAUCAAGCUAUUUAGUUCAGGUUUACUUAUCAAACUAUUUAAGUUCAGUCUUGUAAUAUGAAGUGUGGAUCACUUUAUCAACUUUAAUUCACUGUUAACUGCUGAUUUGGUGCUGGAAUAAGCUACUGAAUGUGCUGAUCACGUAUCGACAAUUUCUGGACGGCAGCGAUUUCUGGACGGUGGUUUUUGUUAUUGUUAAUCACCGUGGGCCCACA